CUUUAAAAUAUUAACAUAAAAGUUUUUCUAUCUAAAUAAAAAAAAAGGAGAUUUAACAACAAUGAAGAGUUGGUUUUCUAGUCUCUCAUAUAUUAUGAAAAAAUCUCCCGAAACAAUCCCCAUCGUCGUCUUAACGGGCGCCAUUUCAGUGGUAGCUAUUAGUUUUUUUUGCUACAAUUAUGGCCCCACGCAAGGCGCCUGGACAAAAGAAAAUCGCUAUUCGGAGGCUAAACGUGACGAUGACCGCCGCGUGAAACUUUUGGAUCAUUUUUUUGGUUCCGAUCGAAUUUCUAAAAGUGAAAAAUAAAAAAAAUACUAUUUUUUCACUUUAAUAA